AGCAGCCGCGGUAAUACGUAGGUGGCAAGCGUUGUCCGGAAUUAUUGGGCGUAAAGGGCUCGCAGGCGGUUUCUUAAGUCUGAUGUGAAAGCCCCCGGCUCAACCGGGGAGGGUCAUUGGAAACUGGGGAACUUGAGUGCAGAAGAGGAGAGUGGAAUUCCACGUGUAGCGGUGAAAUGCGUAGAGAUGUGGAGGAACACCAGUGGCGAAGGCGACUCUCUGGUCUGUAACUGACGCUGAGGAGCGAAAGCGUGGGGAGCGAACAGGAU
rnacentral:rRNA from 1 species